rnacentral:lncRNA from 1 species
GAGAAUCGUCACAAGACCUGCAGCGGCAAGACUUCCGGCUUCGCCCCUGACGGCAGAGUUUCUCAAAGGUCCGGCCAAAACAAAAGGACCCACCAGGAGGUAUCCGUGAGCGAGGCCGAUCUCAACUCCCCUAAGCAAUGGCGCAACCGCAGUGCGGUAUGCGGGCAAAUUCGACAGGUACCAUGCGAUAAGCGGGCUGCUGGUGACGGGCGUCUCGAACCCACCGAUGAAAGGGUCGCCGUUGAGGGGCUCGAUCACCUGGUACUUCUCAGCUCCA